rnacentral:rRNA from 1 species
AAGAUACUGCUCAGUAACACGUGGACAACCUGCCCUUAGGUUGGGUAUAAACCCGGGAAACUGGGUAUAAUACCCGAUAGGUCUCGAUUGCUGGAAUGCAUCGAGAUUUAAAGCUCCGGCGCCUAAGGAUGGGUCUGCGGCCUAUCAGGUAGUAGUGGGUGUAGCGUACCUACUAGCCUACGACGGGUACGGGUUGUGAGAGCAAGAGCCCGGAGAUGGAUUCUGAGACACGAAUCCAGGCCCUACGGGGUGCAGCAGGCGCGAAAACUUUACAAUGCUGGCAACAGCGAUAAGGGAACCUCGAGUGCCAGGUUACAAAUCUGGCUGUCGAGAUGCCUAAAAAGCAUUUCAUAGCAAGGGCCGGGCAAGACCGGUGCCAGCCGCCGCGGUAACACCGGCGGCUCGAGUGGUAACCGUUAUUAUUGGGUCUAAAGGGUCUGUAGCCGGCCGGAUAAGUCUCUUGAGAAAUCUGGCAGCUUAACUGUCAGGCUUUCAGGAGAUACUGUCUGGCUCGAGGCCGGGAGAGGUGAGAGGUACUUCAGGGGUAGGGGUGAAAUCUUGUAAUCCUUGAAGGACCACCAGUGGCGAAGGCGUCUCACCAGAACGGACCUGACGGCAAGGGACGAAAGCUAGGGGCACGAACCGGAUUAGAUACCCGGGUAGUCCUAGCCGUAAACGAUACUCGCUAGGUGUCGGCCACGGUGCGACCGUUGUCGGUGCCGUAGGGAAGCCGUGAAGCGGGCCACCUGGGAAGUACGGCCGCAAGGCUGAAACUUAAAGGAAUUGGCGGGGGAGCAC